rnacentral:rRNA from 1 species
AGCGAACGCUGGCGGCAGGCCUAACACAUGCAAGUCGAACGAACUCUUCGGAGUUAGUGGCGGACGGGUGAGCAACACGUGGGAACGUGCCUUUAGGUUCGGAAUAACUCAGGGAAACUUGAGCUAAUACCGGAUGUGCCCUUCGGGGGAAAGAUUUAUCGCCUUUAGAGCGGCCCGCGUCGGAUUAGCUAGUUGGUGAGGUAAAGGCUCACCAAGGCGACGAUCAGUAGCUGGUCUGAGAGGAUGAUCAGCCACAUUGGGACUGAGACACGGCCCAAACUCCUACGGGAGGCAGCAGUGGGGAAUCUUGCGAAAUGGGGGAAAGGCUGAAGCAGCCAUGCCGGGUGAAUGAUGAAGGUCUUAGGAUUGUAAAAUUCUUUCACCGGGGACGAUAAUGACGGUACCCGGAGAAGAAGCCCCGGCUAACUUCGUG